rnacentral:rRNA from 1 species
AGCAUUGGCGGGCUGCUUAACAUGCAAGUCGAACGGUAACAGGGAGCUUGCUCCGCUGACGAGUGGCGAACGGGUGAGUAAUACAUCGGAACGUGCCCAGUAAUGGGGGAUAGCUCGGCGAAAGCCGGAUUAAUACCGCAUACGCCCUGAGGGGGAAAGUGGGGGACCGCAAGGCCUCACGUUAUUGGAGCGGCCGAUGGCUGAUUAGCUAGUUGGUAGGGUAAAGGCCUACCAAGGCGACGAUCAGUAGCUGGUCUGAGAGGACGAUCAGCCACACUGGGACUGAGACACGGCCCAGACUCCUACGGGAGGCAGCAGUGGGGAAUUUUGGACAAUGGGGGAAACCCUGAUCCAGCAAUGCCGCGUGUGCGAAGAAGGCCUUCGGGUUGUAAAGCACUUUUGUCAGGGAAGAAAUCCUUUGGGCUAAUACCCUAGGGGGAUGACGGUACCUGAAGAAUAAGCACCGGCUAACUACGUGCCAGCAGCCGCGGUAAUACGUAGGGUGCAAGCGUUAAUCGGAAUUACUGGGCGUAAAGCGUGCGCAGGCGGUUGUGUAAGACAGGUGUGAAAUCCCCGGGCUUAACCUGGGAAUUGCAUUUGUGACUGCACG